UGGGAAUUUUGCGCAAUGGGGGAAACCCUGACGCAGCAACGCCGCGUGCGGGAUGCGGCCUCGGGUUGUAAACCGCUUUCAGCAGGGAAGAUAUUGACGGUACCUGCAGAAGAAGCUCCGGCUAACUACGUGCC
rnacentral:rRNA from 1 species